GAUGAGCGCUGGCGGCGUGCCUAAUACAUGCAAGUCGAGCGAACAGACGAGGAGCUUGCUCCUUCGACGUUAGCGGCGGACGGGUGAGUAACACGUAGGUAACCUACCUAUAAGACUGGGAUAACUUCGGGAAACCGGAGCUAAUACCGGAUAAUAUUUCGAACCGCAUGGUUCGAUAGUGAAAGUUGGCUUUGCUAUCACUUAUAGAUGGACCUGCGCCGUAUUAGCUAGUUGGUAAGGUAACGGCUUACCAAGGCAACGAUACGUAGCCGACCUGAGAGGGUGAUCGGCCACACUGGAACUGAGACACGGUCCAGACUCCUACGGGAGGCAGCAGUAGGGAAUCUUCCGCAAUGGGCGAAAGCCUGACGGAGCAACGCCGCGUGAGUGAUGAAGGUCUUCGGAUCGUAAAACUCUGUUAUUAGGGAAGAACAAACGUGUAAGUAACUGUGCACGUCUUGACGGUACCUAAUCAGAAAGCCACGGCUAACUACGUG
rnacentral:rRNA from 1 species